AGAGUUUGAUCCUGGCUCAGGAUGAACGCUGGCGGCGUGCCUAACACAUGCAAGUUGAGCGAUUUACUUCGGUAAAGAGCGGCGGACGGGUGAGUAACGCGUGGGUAACCUACCCUGUACACACGGAUAACAUACCGAAAGGUAUGCUAAUACGGGAUAAUAUAUUUGAGAGGCAUAUCUUAAUAUCAAAGGUGAGCCAGUACAGGAUGGACCCGCGUCUGAUUAGCUAGUUGGUAAGGUAACGGCUUACCAAGGCGACGAUCAGUAGCCGACCUGAGAGGGUGAUCGGCCACAUUGGAACUGAGACACGGUCCAAACUCCUACGGGAGGCAGCAGUGGGGAAUAUUGCACAAUGGGCGAAAGCCUGAUGCAGCAACGCCGCGUGAGUGAUGAAGGCCUUCGGGUCGUAAAACUCUGUCCUCAAGGAAGAUAAUGACGGUACUUGAGGAGGAAGCCCCGGCUAACUACGUGCCAGCAGCCGCGGUAAUACGUAGGGGGCUAGCGUUAUCCGGAUUUACUGGGCGUAAAGGGUGCGUAGGCGGUCUUUCAAGUCAGGAGUGAAAGGCUACGGCUCAACCGUAGUAAGCUCUUGAAACUGGGAGACUUGAGUGCAGGAGAGGAGAGUGGAAUUCCUAGUGUAGCGGUGAAAUGCGUAGAUAUUAGGAGGAACACCAGUUGCGAAGGCGGCUCUCUGGACUGUAACUGACGCUGAGGCACGAAAGCGUGGGGAGCAAACAGGAUUAGAUACCCUGGUAGUCCACGCUGUAAACGAUGAGUAC
rnacentral:rRNA from 1 species